GGGGAGGCAUGCGGGGUGCGACACAGUGGAAGGAGAUUACGGUCCUCCAAGGCCACAGUACGACAUACAGGCAGCCUGUGGUCAAAAAAGAGGGAUUCACAGUGAUACAUAUUUCCUUCUCUUGUAUAGCCUGUGUUGAUUUGACUGUAAGAAUAUUUAUGAAUCUCCCAGCUUCUUUCCCAUGCUUACAUCAAGCCGAAGAAGCGGAGCCCCCCAGGUGCAGAGAGCCAGGAGGCCAACAACCCCAAAGCUGCUGCCCAUAGCCCCUCCCAGCAGACAGCAGCUAGCUACGAGCUGAUUCUGCCCCAUGGUUUUCAAGGCCAGCUGGACUUAUUACAGUCUUAUUUUACCGCGGAUUAUCUUCGGAAUGCAGCUCUGGCUAUGGCCCCCCAGACACAGGGCCACAUCAGCAUCGAGAUGAUCUAUCCAGCAGAACUUCCACCACAGAACCGGGAAAUCCGUUCUGCAGAUCCUGUCCCAGGGGAAAGCUGUCGUACCGGCCCAGCUACUAAAUAAUGAACUCAGAACAGCAAACCCAUAACAGACACCAGGAUCAGCAAUAAACUGUACACCUCACCCACAGCUCAGUUAAAGGUGUAUGCACAUGAAUAUAUGUCAGAAGCAAUAGGAGCCACUUGUGUCAUAACUCGAUCAUUUCCCUCUUACUAUACGCUUUUUUUGCUUUUAAUAGUACUGAAAUACGCCUUGUGGUGCAACCUGGACACAUCUUCAGUGAUGUAACCGGGAUCACUAUAUACUGUAUUAGUCAAUAACUGCACUCACCAAAGAUAUUUCUUUUAAUAAAGGUAGAAUUUUAUUAAGAAUGUUACUUAUUCUGGAAAUCAAUGUACCCUGUGUACACUGUGGACAAAUAAAGCACAG